GGAUUGGGGUCUGCAACUCGACCCCAUGAAGUCGGAGUCGCUAGUAAUCGCAGAUCAGCAACGCUGCGGUGAAUACGUUCCCGGGCCUUGUACACACCGCCCGUCACACCAUGGGAGUGGGUUGCAAAAGAAGUAGGUAGCUUAACCUUCGGGAGGGCGCUUACCACUUUGUGAUUCAUGACUGGGGUGAAGUCGUAACAAGGUAGCCGUAGGGGAACCUGCGGCUGGAUCACCU
rnacentral:rRNA from 16 species